GAGUAACACGUGGGUAACCUACCUAUAAGACUGGGAUAACUUCGGGAAACCGGAGCUAAUACCGGAUAACAUUUGGAACCGCAUGGUUCUAAAGUGAAAGAUGGUUUUGCUAUCACUUAUAGAUGGACCCGCGCCGUAUUAGCUAGUUGGUAAGGUAACGGCUUACCAAGGCGACGAUACGUAGCCGACCUGAGAGGGUGAUCGGCCACACUGGAACUGAGACACGGUCCAGACUCCUACGGGAGGCAGCAGUAGGGAAUCUUCCGCAAUGGGCGAAAGCCUGACGGAGCAACGCCGCGUGAGUGAUGAAGGGUUUCGGCUCGUAAAACUCUGUUAUUAGGGAAGAACAAAUGUGUAAGUAACUGUGCACAUCUUGACGGUACCUAAUCAGAAAGCCACGGCUAACUACGUGCCAGCAGCCGCGGUAAUACGUAGGUGGCAAGCGUUAUCCGGAAUUAUUGGGCGUAAAGCGCGCGUAGGCGGUUUCUUAAGUCUGAUGUGAAAGCCCACGGCUCAACCGUGGAGGGUCAUUGGAAACUGGGAAACUUGAGUGCAGAAGAGGAAAGUGGAAUUCCAUGUGUAGCGGUGAAAUGCGCAGAGAUAUGGAGGAACACCAGUGGCGAAGGCGACUUUCUGGUCUGUAACUGACGCUGAUGUGCGAAAGCGUGGGGAUCAAACAGGAUUAGAUACCCUGGUAGUCCACGCCGUAAACGAUGAGUGCUAAGUGUUAGGGGGUUUCCGCCCCUUAGUGCUGCAGCUAACGCAUUAAGCACUCCGCCUGGGGAGUACGACCGCAAGGUUGAAACUCAAAGGAAUUGACGGGGACCCGCACAAGCGGUGGAGCAUGUGGUUUAAUUCGAAGCAACGCGAAGAACCUUACCAAAUCUUGACAUCCUUUGAAAACUCUAGAGAUAGAGCCUUCCCCUUCGGGGGACAAAGUGACAGGUGGUGCAUGGUUGUCGUCAGCUCGUGUCGUGAGAUGUUGGGUUAAGUCCCGCAACGAGCGCAACCCUUAAGCUUAGUUGCCAUCAUUAAGUUGGGCACUCUAGGUUGACUGCCGGUGACAAACCGGAGGAAGGUGGGGAUGACGUCAAAUCAUCAUGCCCCUUAUGAUUUGGGCUACACACGUGCUACAAUGGACAAUACAAAGGGCAGCUAAACCGCGAGGUCAUGCAAAUCCCAUAAAGUUGUUCUCAGUUCGGAUUGUAGUCUGCAACUCGACUACAUGAAGCUGGAAUCGCUAGUAAUCGUAGAUCAGCAUGCUACGGUGAAUACGUUCCCGGGUCUUGU
rnacentral:rRNA from 1 species